rnacentral:ncRNA from 2 species
AAUCAUCUAAGGUGAAACCUUCGUAUAACCCCGGCAAUGGGGCCGGGGGUUUCUACCAGGUGACCGGAAUCACCCGACUACGAAGGCAGGUAGAUCGUGG